rnacentral:rRNA from 1 species
GUUCGGAAUUACUGGGCGUAAAGCGCACGUAGGCGGAUCGAUCAGUCAGGGGUGAAAUCCCAGGGCUCAACCCUGGAACUGCCUUUGAUACUGUCGAUCUGGAGUAUGGAAGAGGUGAGUGGAAUUCCGAGUGUAGAGGUGAAAUUCGUAGAUAUUCGGAGGAACACCAGUGGCGAAGGCGGCUCACUGGUCCAUUACUGACGCUGAGGUGCGAAAGCGUGGGGAGCAAACAGG